AUUGAACGCUGGCGGCAGGCCUAACACAUGCAAGUCGAACGGUAGCAGGAAGUGCUUGCACUUUGCUGACGAGUGGCGGACGGGUGAGUAAUGCUUAGGGAUCUGCCUUCGGGAGGGGGAUAACAGUUGGAAACGACUGCUAAUACCGCAUAAUACCUACGGGUCAAAGGGGGGUUCGCCUCUCGCCUGAAGAUGAACCUAAGUGAGAUUAGCUAGUUGGUGAGGUAAAGGCUCACCAAGGCGACGAUCUCUAGCUGGUCUGAGAGGAUGACCAGCCACACUGGGACUGAGACACGGCCCAGACUCCUACGGGAGGCAGCAGUGGGGAAUAUUGGACAAUGGGGGCAACCCUGAUCCAGCCAUGCCGCGUGUGUGAAGAAGGCCUUCGGGUUGUAAAGCACUUUCAGACGUGAGGAAAGGUUAGUAGUUAAUACCUGCUAGCUGUGACGUUAGCGUCAG
rnacentral:rRNA from 1 species